UACGUAGGGUGCGAGCGUUAAUCGGAAUUACUGGGCGUAAAGCGUGCGCAGGCGAUUUUGUAAGCCAGAUGUGAAAUCCCCGGGCUUAACCUGGGAAUGGCAUUUGGGACUGCAAGGCUUGAGUGCGGCAGAGGAGACUGGAAUUCCUGGUGUAGCAGUGAAAUGCGUAGAUAUCAGGAGGAAUACCGAUGGCGAAGGCAGGUCUCUGGGCCGACAUUGACGCUGAGGAGCGAAAGCGUGGGGAGCGAACAGG
rnacentral:rRNA from 1 species